rnacentral:rRNA from 1 species
UGGGGAAUCUUGCGCAAUGGGCGAAAGCCUGACGCAGCCAUGCCGCGUGAAUGAUGAAGGUCUUAGGAUUGUAAAAUUCUUUCACCGGGGACGAUAAUGACGGUACCCGGAGAAGAAGCCCCGGCUAACUUCGUGCCAGCAGCCGCGGUAAUACGAAGGGGGCUAGCGUUGCUCGGAAUUACUGGGCGUAAAGGGAGCGUAGGCGGACAUUUAAGUCAGGGGUGAAAUCCCGGGGCUCAACCUCGGAACUGCCUUUGAUACUGGGUGUCUUGAGUGUGAUAGAGGUAUGUGGAACUCCGAGUGUAGAGGUGAAAUUCGUAGAUAUUCGGAAGAACACCAGUGGCGAAGGCGACAUACUGGAUCAUUACUGACGCUGAGGCUCGAAAGCGUGGGGAGCAAACAGGAUUAGAUACCCUGGUAGUCCACGCCGUAAACGAUGAUUGCUAGUUGUCGGGGGUGUUUACACCUCGUGAGCGCAGCUAACGCAUUAAGCAAUCCGCCUGGGGGAGUACGGUCGCAAGAUUAAAACUCAAAGGAAUUGACGGGGUCAUAGCUGUUUCCU